AAUUUCAACUCUCACACAUUGUUUUUCAUUUUUUAAUCCUCGAAUCGAAUGAUUAACUUUGUUUGUAAAUUAAUAAAAUGCUGCGGUUUUCUGUAAAGAUUCUUGUAAUAAUGUUUGAAUAUCCAAAACACGACCAAACUAGCGGUCUACUUACUCUCCCUCAUCCUUUACUACUGUAUCAUCUAUCAAAAAUUACAUCACAUAAAAAUUUUAACAGAUGCGUGUGCACUUAUUUCUAACUCUCAAACAUUUUUUAUUAAU
rnacentral:lncRNA from 1 species